rnacentral:sRNA from 1 species
ACAAAUCGCUGGUUCGUGCCGAGGCGGCCGCACUGAGUACGCAGUGCCGUGAGGCGAGCGGCCUGAGCGCCGACAGCCUGGCGCGGGCAGAGCCGCUGGACAAGGUGCUGCAGCAGUUCUCACAGCUGGUGAACGGGGAUGUGGCUCUGCUGGGCGGGGGCCUCUACAUGCUCUGCACUGAUGGGCAGCAGCUAUUGCGACAGGUCCUGCACCCCGAGGCCUCCAGGAAGAACCUGGUGCUCCCCGACAUGUUCUUCUCCUUCUAUGACCUCCGAAGAGAAUUCCAUACGCAGCAUCCAAGCACUUGCCCUGCCAGGGACCUCACUGUGGCCACCAUGGCACAGGAUUUAGGACUGGAGACAGAUGCCACAGAGGAUGACUUUGGGGUCUGGGAAGUCAAGACAAUGGUAGCUGUUAUCCUCCACCUACUCAAAGAGCCCAGCAGUAAGGUUUCCCUCACUGCCUGUCACCUGCUCUCAGGGAUGACAAAUGCCUGCCUAUUACUCCUCCCCACUGUGACCUUCUCUAAGAGACCACGGGGGAAGCCUCUUUGUCAUUUCUUUUUUUUU